CGGGUUACAGCCCCUCCUUGGCGAAGGAGGAGGCGGCGGAGGCUUCAGGGAGGACUCCGCGCCCACCCUGGGUGGACAGGGGACAACCUCGGCGGUGUCCGCGCCUGUCUGGCAGUCUGGAGUGGACGGGGACACUUGGAAGAGACGGUGUGCAGAGGCCUCUGACCUCAUCCAUCAAGCACAGGAGAGCUCCCUCCGGAUUUCCACCAGUGGGUGCUCAGCCCAGUGUGCACUGAGGGGCAUUAGAAAGAUCUUCUGACUCACCUAGCCAAAUCUUGUAAGCUUGUCACCAACUGGAGGACUUUGGAUCCUGAAGUUUUACCAUUGACAAUGUUGAAUUUUACCUGAGGCCUGUGUUCCUGGAAAAGAGUGAAGGUGAAGAAAUCCUCACCCUUUUGUGUUCUGGAAAACAGCUUACUACAAAAAAAACACCCUUCCCCAAACAACUUGGAAAAGACUCAAGGAUGCCCCUUUGCUUACCUAUGACAAGGCUAGACACUAACACCCCAAAUUCCCGUUCUUUGCCUCAUAAGCAACUAGCUGGACUAUUUUCAUCCCCACUGAUCAAUUGGACAAAAUGCCUGUUAACCAGACUCCUUGGUCAGGUUGGGGAAACUAGAAUCAACCAGAAUGUUAGUGGCAACAGAGCCCAGAGUAGGGUCCAAGUCUUCCACCCCAGGCUCCAUCUCCUUCCAGCACAACCACAGGUACCAUUUUCACCAGCUUCAUGGCUCUAUCUCAUUUUCAGCCUUCUUCUAACUACUCUCUGCUGAGGUAGUCUAACAAUUCCCAAGAGAGUUCAGAGGGCUCCAGAGAAGACCCCAAACUCCUAUAGUGUAUCACCCCCUUAUCCAUAGGGAAUACAUCCCAAGACCCCCAGUAGAUGCCUGAAAUAGUGAACCCUAUAUAUGCUAUGUUUUUUCUUAUACAUACAUACCUAUGAUAAAGUUUAACUUAUAAAUUAGGCACAGUAAGAGAUUAACAACAAUAACUAAUAAUAAAAUAGAACAACUAUAACAAUAUACUGUAAUACAAGUUAUAUGAAUGUGGUCUCUUUCUCUCUCUCAAAAUAUCUUGUUGUACUGUACUCCCCCUUCUUGUGAUGACUUGAGAUGACACAAUGCCUAUGUGAUGAGAUGAAGUGAGGUGAAUGACGUAGGCCUUGUGACAUACUGUUAGGCUACUAUUGUCCUUCUCACAAUUCUAGCUCCAGAUCUCGGGUCUUCUGACUCCAACCAAUGUUCUGUCUGCUGUAAAAAUCAAAAAGAAACUUUUAAGUUGAAUCUUUGAGCCAUCUAUUUAUUCCAACUUACCAACCAGUGUAGGACUUCCUUCCAUAGGGCUCUGACAAAAAAAGUAAAAUUAAAAUUUAUAGCCCCUCCUUAAUGUCUCAGUAAUGAAGAGUUCAUUACUUUUUUAUAAUAUAUUCUUUUUCUAAUUAUUAAAGUAAUACACACUCAUGGCAUAAAAUUUGGAAACUACAGAAAAGCAUAAAGAAUAAAAUGUAAACUACCCAUAAUCCCACCACAUUGACAUAUCCUUUAUUUUCUACUUGCUAUUAAAAUACAAAUGAAGUAUAUGUUGACUUUUUAGUGGUAUUACACAGGAUAAUAUCCAAGAUAUGAUUUAUAUUACUUUUUGGAAUAGUGUCUUCCAAUCAUAUAUAUCCAUCCAAUCAUAUACACCCAGUCCAAUAUAUCUGUAUUUUACAGAAUUAGAAUCAUACUUUAAUUACUAAUUUGUGACCAGAUUUUCUCCCUUAAUAUAUCAUCUUCAGAAUAUAAUUUAAAAUUUCCAUAAAACAUUUGAAUUGUUUACAAGAUAUUCAUUCAUUCUUUGACAUACCGUAACUUACUUAACUUCUACCCCAAUGUUGGUCAUUUAGAUUGUUGCUAUUUUUCAGAAUUACAAAAAUAACAUGGAAUGAACAUUAAUCUACUAGCCUAUUCCUGUGAUAGUUUAUUCACUGCAACUUUAUAAUAAGUUUUAAUAACAUUUUCCAAAAUCUUCUUGGAUAUUCUUACUCAAAUUUUCCUCUAGACACUUUUUUAUAACAUCCUCCUAAAAAAAUGAGAUAUUAUUUGAAAUGCAGUAAAUAUUACAGAUUAGUCUAAAGAGAUUUGAUAAAUUGACUCUUCUCAUUUCUUUUCAAAGCAGUCUACUUAUCAAUUAGACAGAAAAAAUUUUUUAAAAGCUGUUCUUAUUAAUGGUUCUAGACAAUAAUCAUCAAUGGCCCCUAAUAUCACAAGAGAGACAAGACCACCAACCAGAACAUGCCUCCUGAUGGAGGUUUAUAACACCACCUGUGAAGUGUCUUGCCAAAAAAAAAUCAAACCUGAAUUUGACCAGGCUUCUAGAUCUACUACCAAUUUAUAGGAAAUACGGAGAACAGAGGGUCGUGGCAAAUGACACCGCAGGGUUGCAAUCAGCAAAGUCUAGACUGAAAUUUUACAGGACAAGCAACUGAUUUCUUCAACAAAUAAAUUGCAAGUGGAGGCAGGGGAGAAUCUUAUACAUUAAAGCCAUUUAAGAAACAUGUCAACCAAUUGUAAUGUAUGAACUUUAUUUGGUUCCUGAUUCAAGCAAACUACUACCAAAAAACUUUGUACAAUAAUUGGAAAAAUGUAAAAACUAUCUGGAUAUUUGAUGAUGUUAAGAAAUUAUUGUUAAUAUUUUAGAUGAAAUAAAUUUUAUGCUUAAUUUUUUAUAAACAUUCUUUGACUUUAAAGAUGCUUACUGAAAUGUUUACAGAUGAAAUGAUAUGUCUGGGAUUUGCUUCACAUUAACCAGAGUAAAGGCAUGAGGGGUGUAGAGAUGA
ensembl:lncRNA